rnacentral:rRNA from 1 species
CAAUAGCCUAACGGCUGAACCAGCAACUUGGAGGAAUGUAUAGCGAUAGCUAAUUGCAUCGAAAAUAUGAUGCAAGAUCGAUUUAUUGAAUAAAAUUCUGGGUAGAAUUAUGAUUAUGACAUUGUCUACCCAUGUGUCUUGACCAAAUUACGUGCCAGCAGUCGCGGUAAUACGUAGAAGACUAGUGUUAUUCAUCUUUAAUAGGUUUAAAGGGUACCUAGACGGUAAAUCAAGCCCUAGACGGGACUAAUUUGCUAGAGUUACUUGUGAAGGGGUUUUAAAGUACUAAUGGUGUAGAGAUGAAAUUUUGUAAUACCAUUUUUCGAAAGGAAAGUAAUGGCACAGGUAUAGGCGAAAGCAUCCCCUUAUGUGAUAACUGACGUUGAAGGACGAAGGCUUUGAGUCGCGAACAGGAUUAGAUACCCUGGUAGUCAAAGCAGAAAAUAAUGAGUGUCAUAGAUUAGAUAUUAAAGUUUAUUCUAUAAAUGAAAGUGUAAGCACUCCACCUCAAGAGUAAUUUGGCAACAUUGGAACUGAAAUCAUUAGACCGUUUCUGAAACCAGUAGUGAAGUAUGUUGUUUAAUUUGAUAAUCCGCAAAAAACCUUACCACAAUUUGAAUAUUUAUAUCGUUGAUAUAAUUACAAGCGUUGCACGGCUGUCUUCAGUUAAUGUCGUGAGAUUUUGGUUAGAUCCAUUAAAUUAACGCAAGCCCUUACUUUAUUUUAAAAUAAAGUCGUUCCCCACUAGAUUGGAUAAGAUAACAGGGAUUAAGACAAGUCAUGAUGGCCUGAAUAUUGUGGGCUAU